UACGGGGGGAGCAAGCGUUGUUCGGAUUUACUGGGCGUAAAGGGCGCGUAGGCGGCCAUCGCAAGUCAGUUGUGAAAUCUCUGGGCUUAACCCAGAAAGGUCAACUGAUACUGCGGGGCUAGAGUGCAGAAGGGGCAACUGGAAUUCUCGGUGUAGCGGUGAAAUGCGUAGAUAUCGAGAGGAACACCUGCGGCGAAGGCGGGUUGCUGGGCUGACACUGACGCUGAAGCGCGAAAGCUAGGGGAGCGAACGGG
rnacentral:rRNA from 1 species